rnacentral:rRNA from 1 species
AGGGAAUCUUCCGCAAUGGACGAAAGUCUGACGGAGCAACGCCGCGUGAGUGAUGAAGGUUUUCGGAUCGUAAAGCUCUGUUGCCAGGGAAGAACGUCCGUUAGAGUAACUGCUAACGGAGUGACGGUACCUGAGAAGAAAGCCCCGGCUAACUACGUGCCAGCAGCCGCGGUAAUACGUAGGGGGCGAGCGUUGUCCGGAAUUAUUGGGCGUAAAGCGCGCGCAGGCGGCUGUUUAAGUCUGGGGUAUAACCCUGGGGCUCAACCCCGGGUCGCACUGGAAACUGGACGGCUUGAGUGCAGAAGAGGAGAGUGGAAUUCCACGUGUAGCGGUGAAAUGCGUAGAGAUGUGGAGGAACACCAGUGGCGAAGGCGACUCUCUGGGCUGUAACUGACGCUGAGGCGCGAAAGCGUGGGGAGCAAAC